AUUUGGUCCACCACCUAACAUAAUUUCUAUAUAUCCAUGGAUCUGAAAAUCCUCUACCAUAUUAGAUAUCACUGACUAGAUUGAUCGAUCUAAAAGGCCUGACAGUGUACAAUAUUUUCAAUUCUAUCAGUCAUUUUGGAAUUUCCAUAAUUUAGGAGACUAGGUUGUAUUGUCAAUCAUUUUUUGCUUUAUCAGCUUCUCAUUCACUUAUCUGAUCAUUUUUCAUGUAUUUUUUGCAAUUCAUGUUUUUCUUUUCUCACAAUUUAGGGGUUUCAUAACUGGUUUGUCACUGUUCUUGAUUAGCUUGAAGAAUUUAGAUUUCACUACAAGGGUUUUAUAAAAUGGUAUUUGAUACAUGUAUUAUUUGCAGAUUUCAGCAAACAUCAAGCAAUAUUAUGCAACCUGUUAUUCUCGUAUUCGUUGGAAUGAUUCUUUUUGGUGGUCUCCGUGCACCCAAAGCCCGACAGGAACAAGAAAUACUAGUUCUGAACCACAAGACGAUAACACAAGAAGCAGAGAGAAUUCAAGAAAAAGAUCUAGGAGCUCGAAUGAAGUCCAAAGAUCUAGAAGAAUUUAGGAAGAAUAUGAGAUGUGGUUCUAUAGGUACUAAAGACUAUAAGUCCCGGUUCUCAGGAUCAGGCCUUAAGCAGUUGUUGUUUAGAGAAUGAAUUCAAUUAAUCUCAUGAGCUACUUGGAGGGCAUCUUCAAGUUUGAUCUAUAACAAUUCUGCAACAAUUGGUUUAAAAGGUCUUGUUCUUGCAUCAUUUUGUCCAUUUAAUUUACAAUUUCUAUAGACUUUAACAAUGCAUUAACCAAUUGCUUCAUAGUUUAAUUAACUUAAUACUUUGAAUGAAUAAAGAUAUCCAUGAUAUAAUUUAGUAUAAUGUUAAAGUUAUUUAGAGACUGGUUUAUUAUGCAAUAUAUAGAAUUAAGAUUAAGACAAAAUGAAAGUUUUAAACGGAAAUGUUAGUACUAAAACUGAUAUCCAAACCCUGUUUACAACACCAAUAUCAUAGAGAAAAUUGAAGUCAGAAAGAACGUUACAUAGAUAAAAUAGAUACUGUAGAAUUAUUUGCUCCAUGUUUUGUCUCUUACAAUUGACCUCGUAAGUUAGCGCGCACUUCGUAAUUCUCUGCGGAAAAAGCAUUGCUCAUGCUUAUAUAACAUCAUGAAGGUUUUCUAAAUAUUUGUGACUACUUAGUAUACUGGCUUAACCGCACACGUAGUCGAAACAUGGAAAUUCUAUCAUAGUUGAAACAACAGUUGAAGAUGAUAUUAUAUAUGCAUGACUGAAAAUAGAUGGAGUAAAACUGCUAUAUGGAAAUUCUGUUAGAAAAUGAUUAGGAUGAAAGAUAAAACACAUGAGAUCAAUAUUCUAAUUAAUGUAAUUAGAUAAUACUAAUAGAUCAAAUUAUAGAGAAGAAAAUUCUGCCGUCGAGAAAUGACUUCCCUAGUAAUAAGCAUAAACCAUGACAUACUAAUUGGACAAACAACUUAAAAUAUUAUAACUUAUUUUUUUAACAAAAGAUAAUCAAAUCAAAUUGUUUAAACUAUAAGCUAUCAUGUAAAUAAGAUUGGUUUGGUAGAUUUUUGUUUGUGUUUAUUCUCAAUUUGCUGCAAAUAUGCAAUUGCUCAUCAAAUAAAGCUCAAGGACAUAGAAUUGAAACGAAAUACAGGAUAUUUUAGUUGCAUACGUCGAGUAAAUUUUAUUAUUUUGUAUAAAAAUGUAAUGCAAUUCUGUUUUUUUUUUCUAAAAAUUUAAAUUUAGUGGUCAGAAAGUUGUGUAUGUUUGAAUGGAUAAUUUUUAUUUGGAGAUGUAAAAUUUCUUUUUUUUACCAAUUGUCAAAUAGUGUAGAGGAAUUAUAAUAAUUUGUUAAUGUUUUUUGACAUAUCAGUGCUAUAGUAUUGUAGUGUGGCAGAAUUACCAGUCAUGCCUUCACAUGUUACUGCACCAUUUUUUAUGUGCAUUCCAUGUAAUGCGCGACCUGUUGUUGCUUCAUCCAAUCCUGCCAUUUUUGAAUUCCAUUAGCAGCUGCCAAGCGAGCCGCACAAUGUGCAGCUUGCUUUUCUUUUCACGUUGCAGUCUUCGCAUGUCCGAGUUGAAUGGGUAUCCAACUAUCUCUAAACUUUUUGAUUUUAUGUGACCAAUUAUGUCACAAUGAUCACAAUUUGGAUUGGAUCCGCCUCGCCACUUUUGUUUUCUGCCACUAGAAUCGAAUGCUGCUCCUGCAUCUAGUUUGUAGAUGAUCCACUAUAGUAGAAUUGUGGCUUUGACAUCAGUGAAUUGCUCAUUGUCAAGGCAGCUAAGAAAAAGAUGAACUUUUUUAUCUUCUUCUCUUUUCAUAAAUUCCUUGGAGGCUGAUGACGGGCUAUUAGUGCACAUCAUUUAGCAUGAAAAAUCGUCGGAUUCUGAGAAGAAUCAAACAAGUUAGAAGCAUUUAAGUGAAAAAAGCUUAAAUAAUUGCUUUUGGGUGGAGAAAAGGACAUAGUGAAAAAAUUGGUGAAAAAAGAAACAAAAAACACGCUGAAGUUUCUGGAAAAUACGCGCCAACAACGUCCCCACGCUAUCUUCUAAUGCGCCCGCGCUGAAAAGUAUCACGCCCGCGUUGAAGCAUUGAUGGCACAAAGCGCUCGCGUUGAGAGGCAGCGCGCACGCAUUGCAGUUUUUCGACACGUUUAACAUCCGCUUUAUAAGGAAAAGGUAGAGAAAAAUAGGAGUUCGACCAAGUCCUCAAAGUGACGUUUUGCUGCAAUUUUAAUUAAACAUGAGUAGUUAGAUUCUCCUAGUUUAGGUCGAACUUGAUGAUGAACCUGUUUUACUUUAUUGAGACAUAUGAUCGGAUGAUGUUAAUGUAUUGUUCUAACUUAUUGUUAUUAUUCAAUUAUUGAUUGUGCACAUUAUGUUUUGAUUGUUACGUCAUUGGAAUCGAUAUUGAUAAAUAUUGACUACUGACCCUAGGGCUAUCUAUUUGAACUAAUUUAAUUGUUGAAUUCUCUAAUUGACUAGGGAUAGUAUGAUUAGGAAUUGAAAAUAAGGGACUAACGCACUCUAUUGCCUAAUUUGACGGGACAAUUGGCCUGAGGGAUCGGGGAGUUAACGCUUAGAUUAGUGAGCUAUACGUCAAGGGAUUGGGUAUAAUGAUAGAGUUAGUCUGUCGUAUAACUCUGUAGUCAGUGCAUGUUUGUUAAUGCGUGUUUCAUUAAUCAACUAAAAUUAUGAGAUUAUGAUAAGACGACUUGACCUCUUUUCUCACUAUCGCUUUAAAAACAUUUUCUUGCAUUUUCGACUAAACAAAUCUUAAAAAUCCCCCCGUUUACUGUUUUAAUUUACAUCACAUAAUAUUUCUUGUUUAAAGUUCGCAAUCCCCGUAGAGACGAAUUUUAUUUUCAUUACUUUGAUAACAUUGCUAGUACACUUGCAGGGUAAUUUUAUCAUCUAGUUUUUGACGUCGUUGCCAGAGGCUGUUUACAUUCUCAACAAGGCAUAGUGAGUUACUUGUUUUAUUUUUAAUUUUUGUUUAAUUUUAAUUUUGUUAAUCUGAUUAUUCACUAUUGUUCCGAUCUGACCCAAUGUCCAGGCAUGACCCAAUCCACUUUUGCACCCAGAAGGCCAAUUAGCCUUGGCACAACCAGUGAGGGCAAAGGGAAGCUCCUUUCCUCCUGUCCCUCCGCCGAGGACACAUCCUCACCUGGCCAACGGACCAGCGAACCAACGCUACCCUUGGCCAGACCUCCACGUAAGCCGACACCAAGACAUCCCUUUUGCUCCUCCGUCAGUGACAGAUGGACACUUGCUCGCUGGGCACCGUUGCUUCCUAGAAAUGCAUCUCUGUCUCGCCUCAACGGCUAGUUUCGGGCAGCCUUCCAGAAUUUCUAGUUUUACGCCUAGAUUCCCGUAUGUCACAUAUUUUGUGCCUGGAUCCUUGAUCCAACCGAAAUAUGGACCAAUGGUCAAGUGUUGGGGACAUUAUAAAAACCCUCUCAUAUGGACCAAUGACCUAUUGACUUUUGCAUUGGAGUGCCUUAUAGGUACACCACCUUCCUUUAAAUUACCAACAUUAUACGCGAAGUCGCUGGCCCACUUUCAGGUUCUAGUCAACCGGUAAGAUCAUUGGCGCCGUUUGUGGGAACAUCUGUUCUCCCCAUCUUUCUUUCCUUGGAAACCAAAGAUCCAAACAGUUUUUCAAGAUUUCAACCAUGGCCAGUCACAACGACAACCGCAAUGUUCACCCCUCCGUCAUUUCUCCCGAGCACCAAACCAACCUUGCCAGCAUGAAUCCCUUUUUGGAGGACGCAGUUCCUCCGAAAAGGGACGGAGCCACCGCAUCCCCCUCUCUGAACGGCGCACACGAUCUUGGCACUCAGUUCGAUGACACUGGCAAGAUCAAGAAAGUUCUGGAGGAUGCACCUGAAAUAUUCAAGCAGAUUCCUAUGCCGACCAAUGCCGACAUUAUCCUAGCAGUCUUGGUCGAGGCAUUCAACAAGACAAACUCCUUAAUCAUGCACCAGAACAAGAGGAUCAGAGCACUAGAGAAAGCACGCCUUUCUAGAUCUCCUCUGCGGAGACACUGAAGAGAAUCCCGGAGUCCAUCAUUGCGACAUAGAGAGCACCGCUCGACUCACGAGGAACAAGAAUCCCUAGGUGUCAAGAAACAUGAUUGCAUACCUCCCCGCAGGAGCCCGCGCUCCCCGGUGACAAAGGACCGGUUAAGAACUCCUUCUCCUCCCCCCCCCGCUCGACUCGAAGGACCGGUUAAGAACUCCUUCUCCUCGCCAAGAACGUGGUCCUCGAUACGGUAGAUGCAACACAUCUCCUGCCCGAUCUCCUAGCUCCAGCAACAAAGACGUGCCUCGGGGCCCGUCGUCUCUUGAAAUAAUGACUACACGACUACCUAAAGGAUUGGAGAAGCUCCACCUCUAGGCACCUACGACGAAACAAGCGACCCUGACGAGCACAUCAAAAAUAUCGACGCUCUCCUCAAUUAUCGUGGCGUCAAGGGCGCCAUCAAAUACUGGUUGUUCCCCAUAACACUAAGAAAUGGGGCCAUGUCCUGGUACAAGAGCCUCCCUUAUGGGUCCAUCGCCUCGUGCAAAUAGUUAGGGAGGAUGUUCUUCAAACAUUUCACAGCUUCUCACCUACAUCCGAAAUCAGAUGCCUCACUCGAGAUGAUAAUCCAGGGAAAGGACGAGUCCCUCCGGACAUAUAUUAAGAGGUUCAACAAAGAAGUCGUCCUAGUCUCCACGACAAAUGACAUGAAGAAAUAUCUGCUCAAGCGAGGCCUGCGCCCCCGCGGCAACUUUGCCAAGGUAGUUGGCAUCGAGACCCCUCUUACCCUGGACACCCUCCUCCUCAAGGCCAAGACAUACAUUCAAUACGAGAAAAAUGAAGUAGCCAAUACUGCCCGAUAUUCGAGACACCAGAAGAAUGCAAAAUCCUCGAGGCCCGGUGACUCCUCGAUAUCUCAUAGGGGAGGAUACAAGAACAAAGAGGAAAGAUCCCAUGAAUCUUGGGAAUACAAGGGACAAACUGGCCGUUUUCAUGAGUACACGUCGCUGUCCGCCUUACGAGAAAAUAUUUUCCGAGUGCGCCAAUGCAGUUUUCUGUGAGGCUGGGGUUCGCUUUCCCCGACAAACGCUAGCAAAACCAAACAAAAACAAGACUAAAUACUAUCAGUUCCACAAGAGCCACGUGCAUACCACUGAAGACUACAUCAACCUCGAGAAUGCCAUCGAGAUCCUGAUCUGAGACGAGCAUCUCAAAAAAUACACAAAGAAAAGGGAUGAUGCUCGGCAGGAACCCUGAGAAACGAAAAAAUUUCGGGAAAGAGAAACCCCCUUUAGAUGAUGUCAGUAUGCCCGUAUCCUUGAGCGUAACACGACUAGAGGACUUCUACGUCCCAGACGAAGACGCGCUCCCCUUAUAUCUAGCAACACAUAGUCCCCGGGAGAACUUUACCUCUGCCUUGGUCAUAUCGGGUGGGAGGGAGCAGCAAGAUGACCGUGGGCUCGGUCAAAAGAAAAUUCGAGCAACCCAUUAGUACAAGCUCCAACACUAGUUCCACCCUUAACAAGAUCCGAGGCACCUCCGUUCCUAUAGCUUUUUUCUGAGAGGAACUCCCCGGCGGUUCCCUUAACUCAAGCAUUCCCCUGCUCGUACUGGCACAAAUGACGAACUUUGAUUUCUGAGGCAUUUUAGUUAACCAAGGGAGCUCGGUCGAUAUCAUGUACUCACAGCUAUUCUCCAUGCUGCAAUUGGAUGAAACAUACCUGACACCAUACGUAGGUUGUGACCUACAAGGUUUCAAUGACAGUUAUAAAGCCGUGAGGUACGUAGAACUGCUCGUCACAUUCGGGGCCGCAGAAAUGUCUAGAUCUAUCAAAGUUCAAUUCCUGGUGAUAGACUACCCCUCACUUUACCAGCACAUCCUUGGCAGGCCGAUGCUGGCCGAACUGAUACUUGUGCCUUCCAUAGUGCACAUGAAGAUGAAAUAUUACACCUCCAAGGGUCUCUUCGCCACCCUCCACGGGGACAUCGAGGCUGCAAGGAGAUGCUUUAAGGCUGCGUCGAAGGGGCUAAACACCAUCAGUGCGCUGGCAAAAAACAAGCUCGAUCUGCCCAACAGCUCCGAAGAGCCUAGAUCAUUACCUUGCAUCGACUGUGAAGUCCACUUGAGGCCUUGGAAGUUCCAUUUCCUUGAGAGAAAUCAAAACCCUAAUUGGAGGUCCAUUGCUUAGGAGGCUUCUUGAAACAAACUGUCUUGAAUAUUUGAGGGCAAAUUUGAGUGUGCAACAAACCUCAUCUUCACAAAAUUUAUGAAAUUAAUUUGAGGUGUACUCCUUCCCUCGAUCACUUCUCACUUCUCAGCAUCUUUAUAAAUAUGCCACUUUGUUUUUCAACUAAUGCUUUAAAUUUCUUAAAGAUUACAAACACUUUAGAUUUUUGUCUCAUGAAAUUUACCCAAGUCAUGCGGGUAAAGUCGUCAAUAAACAUGAUAAAAUACAUAUUUUGUCAUGAGACAAAGUAUUCAUAUGGCCACACACAUCUGCGUGUACAAGUUCCAACACUUGUUUAGCUCUCCAUUCACCUUCCUUUGGAAAUGGUUGCCGGUGGUGUUUUCCAAGCACACAACCUUCGCACACACCCAAUUUUUCUUCGAUUCUUGGCAGCCCAUACACCAUCUUCUUUUGAUAGAGUAACUUAAGGCUUUCGUAAUUCAAAUGCCCAUGUCUCCUGUGCCAUAAACAUGAGUCAUUUUCUUCUCUAGCCUUCAUGCUUACAUUUUUCUCAUAGUUGAAAGAUAGUGGAAAGCUCCUGUUGGUAGUCAUCUUCACAACAACAACACUUCUUCUUUCUGAGUCAAAAAUUCUACACUCUCUAUUCUCAAAGUUUAGUGAAUAGCUGUGCUUUAGAAGUUGUCCAAUGCUAAGAAAAUUUUCGUCUAAUUCCGGCACAUAAAGCGUGUCAUGUAUGACUUUGCUUCCUUGCUUCGUGGUGAAUCUAAUGCUUCCUUUCCCUUUCACUUCGACAUGUUCUCCAUUGCCCAAUUUAAACUUUGAGCCGAAUGAAGAAUCAAUAUUUAUAAAUGCUUCCUUUUGUCCGGUCAUAUGGUUGCUACAGCCGUGGUCUAAAUACCAAACAUUUUUACCUUCUUCAUGCGAUGCUUUUUGACAAGAAAAAAACAAAUUUCUUUCAUCAGAUUCUCCCUUUGCGUACAAAGCAUGUUGCUGAUUUGCAAGACGACAAUCCUUUUGAAGGUGCCUGAAUCUCUUGCAAUUGUGGCAUUACGGUUUGCCUUUGUUUCAAUAGUCCUUCUCCUCAUGAGUGUUGAUGUUACAAAUUUUGCACCAUUUGUUUGAUGCUUCAUUCCAUCUUCCGCCAUUUGCGACUCUUCCAGAUAUUCCACGUGAGUUUCAACCUCUUCCUCCGCCUCUUCCAAAUCUGUCACCUCUAGAAGACUCACCUCUAGUUUGUAUUUGGUGCUUAUUUUCAUCAUUGUUGGGCUGAAUGUUGAGUUUAGAUUGAAAGGCACUCUCAAUUGAUUUUUCAGAAUGUUGUAACAUCCUUUGCUCGUAAGAUCUCAAAGACCCCAUCAACCUUUGAACAGUCAAGGUUGAUAGAUCCUUGGUUUCUUCUAUCACACCCACCAUUGGGUUAAAUCUUGUUGUCAAACUAAUCAGAAAUUUGUCAACAAUUCUGCGAUCUUCUAUCGUAUCACCAUGCGACUUCAUCUGAUUCGCCAACUCGGAGAGCCUGUUGAAGUAUUCGUUCAGGCUCUCGUUCUCCUUAAUCCUUUCAUUUUCAUAAUCUCUCUUAAGAGAUUGAAGCUUCACCGUUCACACCUUUGAGUCUCCUUCGAACUCUUGUUGUAGGAUACUCUUGGUUUCCUUCGAUGUUUUAGCUCUCAUAAUCCUUGGAAAAUGGAUAGAGAGACUCCUCUUUGAAUCAUCUCGAGAACUUCAGCAUCUAUGAUCUUCUUCUUCAACUCUUCAAACCGUUGUCUUGAUUCUUCAGCUUUUUCUUUUAAUUUUUCAGCCUCUGUUGGUGCCGGUUCUUCAUACUCAUUUUAGACAUACCCUAGAACAUCCAAAGAUGUGAAUAGAGUCUCCAUUUUAACAAUCCAAAAAUCAUAGUUCUCUCCUUCAAAUAGAGGAACUUUGACAUUGCUGUAAGUUAUGGAAGGGUUGUUUGUGGAAGCCAUAACUUUUGUUGUUUUUGUUGCAACUGCAAGGAUCUGCAGCUCUGAUACCACUCUGUUGGUGGUAUUCUAGAGGUGGUAUGUGAUAAAUUAUAGUGUUACAGGAUUGUGCGGAGAAAAAUUAAUUUUCGUCACUUUUUGCACUAUACUUCUACUGGUGGAUGACCAUUGAAAAACUCUGCUUUUAUUGAAUUCACCACACACUUCUUUCUCUCAACUUAGCAUUACUAAGCCUUUAUAUAGG